AAACAUUUUACAAACCCCGUUUCAAGCUCAAAAGGAAGAGGACCUUCAAAACCGGGAAGAAACUUGACGAUAGAGCCAGAAUCAACAUGCUGACUCCAGACAAAAAGAAGUAGAAGGAGAAACAGAAGCUUUAGCGUCAAACUCAUUCUUUUUAAAAUUCUAAAUAUUAAGUCUUUUUUGUUCAAAAAGUAUUGAGUCUUUUACGCGUUAAAAGGGCUCUAUAUAGAGGUAGCAACCAUUCGUCACUGUGAAUAAUGACAUAAAUGAGCAACAGUUUUAGUUCAUGUGGUCAGUGCAGCAGUUAAGAACUAAUAAUUCCUAAACAUUAUUUAAAAAGUGAUUUAUCAUAUGUUAUUAAUAUAAUAGUUUUAAAAAAUGAUAACAUAACAUACCAUGACAUAUUAAUAAUGGUGACAUAACUUAAAACAAAUUGACAUUUAUAUUCAAUGAUAUAUUUUCUUUAUUAUAAAUUGAUAAUAAAUCAUAGAUCAUCAUUAACAUAACAAUAAAUAAAAGAAUAGUAUAAAUCAAAAUAUAGUAAUAUUUUACAAAUUUGAAAUAUUAUUUACUUAUAUUUUUAUAAUUAUAUAACUUUUAUUACUAAAACUUUUUUUUUUAAUUUUAUGCAGUUUUCUUUUCAAAAUUUAUAACUUUUUUUUAUUUACUUUUUUUUAAUAUCGACAAAUAUUAAAAAUAUUAUUUAUUUUACGUUUUGAUAGUUAUAUACCUAAAAAAAUUCUCUUAAUUUUAUAGAAUUUGAUUUAUAUAUUUUAACCAGAAAUAGAUUAAAAUAAUUUCCAAAUGAUUAUAAUCUUAAAUCUAUAAAUAUGUUAUAAAUAUUAUUUGUUUAAAAAUAUUUAUUUUAUCCGAAUUUUUACAUAUAAUUAAAUUUAAAAUUAUAAAAAAAUAAUGAAAUCUAAAAUUAACAAGAUUUUAUUUUUAAGUAUAAUUUAAAUUUUAAAAAAUUUUAUUUCUGUAUACGAUAUAUAAAAACACCUAGUAUCCAAUUAUAAUAUAAAAAAGUAUCCGACUUCUGUAGCUCUUAUCAUUAGAAAUUAUUAGUGAGGGUCCCUUGUUAUUAGCACGUGUAAGCGAUUCAGAACAUUCUUGAUCGUUCUGUUCGUUCUUAUCCAAAUCCUAUCUCAAGAGGUGGGGGGGGAGGCACGUUCAUAGGUACUACGAGGUCACGUGUCCCCAACUACGUUUAUAAAUAUUUUGUGUUACUCAUUAAAAAUAUGGGUUCUUAGCUACCCAUUUUCUCCUAUUUCUUCCUUUUACUUUAUACCAGGUGAUUUUCCCGUAUUUAUGCACAUAUAAUAUUUUUAAAAUUAAUCAUUAUAAUAAUUUAUUUACAUUAUAAGAAUUUAUUAAUAUUUCAUUUUUAAUUUUUAAUUAUUCUGUUAUUUAUAUAAUAAAUAUGCAUGGUUUAUUUUAAAUAACAUUAUGUUAUUUUAAUAAGACGUAUAAUUUUGAAUAUAUAAUAUCACGACUGUUUGAUUAUUAUUUAGAUAUAUUAGACAACAUUUAAUUUUUCGAUUCAACUAAGAUAUUUUUGUUAUACAUAUUAAAAUUUUGAUUAGUUUUGUUAUUUUCAUGUAGUUUUAUUUUUAUCUUAGAUUUGUAUAUAUAUUUUUAGUCAGAUUAUGUAUGAUUUAAUAUAUGUUGUUUUGAGAAUCAAAUAAUAAAAAUAAACAAAAGUGUUGUUCGAUUUAAAGUUACAUAAGUAAAUAUAACAAUGAUACUUAAUUUAAUAGUUGGUUGAUAUAUUUAUAAUGUUAUUUGAGAUUUUCAUAUUUAUUUAGUAAUAUGUUGAAUCGUUCUAUAAUUUAUAUUUA